rnacentral:lncRNA from 1 species
UGAUUUCAGAGCACAGCAACCCAGCUUCCCUUAGGUCCCUCAAUACACCAUGUGCGUUCUCACAUUCAGGGCAUCUCUAUAAGGAUUAACUGAGGCUAAAGAGGCCCUUGACAAAGAUAAUGAUACUAGAAGGACGAUAACAUCAAGUUUCUUUUUUGGAUCCAAUGUGACCUUGCUGAAAUUACACUAGAAUUGUCACCCCUAGAAGCCAAAUCCCUAGAUGUGGCACUCAUUUUGAAUUAUUUUUAAAAUUACUGCCAAAGCCCUCUAUGGGCUACUAACAUUAUCUUAGUCAAGUAGUAACGUGGAAAUAGUCAAUAAACUGGUUUUAGGACUACCUGCCUGAACCCUUAAUGACCCUUGCAAACAGAAGCUUGUAGAGACCCUUCUUGAAAUGUGAACUCCUUUCCUGCCUUUUACCACAAGCUCCUGUGAUUCCUCAAGGCCAGAUGGAAAUUUGACCUAUUCAUGAAGUUUCUACCCUCCUGCCACACUCUUUAUCAUCUCUCCCCCAUCAGCAACCACAGUACUUUGCACUCACAUCUCAGAGCUAUAAUUAUUUUGGUAUGUGUUUAUUUCUCGAAGUACCAGGGCUUCAAGAGUGAGAUUUUCUCACUUGUACCCACAGUUCCUGGAGUGGGGCAGAUAGGCUCACGGUGCUUCAAUAGGUAUAUGCUUCUUCUGAAAGCCAAAGCUGAUGUGACUGUGUCAGCCAACUGAUAAAUUGAUGCUUUUCUUUUUAAUGUAUUCACAGAAAAGUAUAAUAACCUUAAGAAAUGUCCAGUUGUCUUUAGUUUUAGUUGCCUUUGCAGAAAGAAAGGUACUUGGUGAGAAAGGAGCACGUUGCCAGGUUAAUUGGCUAUUUUCUUUCCGUCUGCACUAAGAAGAGCAGCCAUUUUCACUUCAUUUCAAGGGAACUGAAGAAGAUAAGCCAUCUUUCAGGGGUCCCUCUUAGGAUUAUUGGGGAGAAGUGAGAAUCUUUUCAGUUGCAGGAUAAAGAGGAGAGGCUUUUUAUAUGAAUCAUCUCUCCAGCUAUUUCUAUGUAUGGUGAUUUAUUGAUUGUUAGAUUUUUCUAGAGCUGUUUUUUGUUGUCUUUAAUUCUUUUUUAAUUUCAGUGUUUUUCUGGGAAUUUUUAAAUUUUUCUCAUUUUAUCCUCUCAAGUGCCUAUAGUAUAGGGCUCAGUUAUCGCCAUCCAUGUGAUGUAUUUUCAUGGAAAUAAGAAGGUACUCUGUAAUCCUCUUUUUAUUUUCCCAAGUAGCUCAUUGAUGCUUGAAAUUGUAAAACUAGAGAUUCAUUCUUUUGGCUUAAAACUUGGGAUCUUAUUAAAAGAUAAUCUUUUAUAAGAGAUGUAACAUUUUUCCUCCUUAAACCUAUAUGAUCCAAUGUGACACUUUAGACUGUUUUAUCAUAUUUAUUUUCUGUUACACUUAUAUGCUUAUUUAUGUUAUGUUCCCUACUCCAUUAUUAGCUUCUUGAAGUCAAGAGUUGUGUCUUCUUCAUUUUCCUAGGUCCUACUUGUCCCAGCUAUAUCUCUUCCAGUGGAUUAAAUGUUGGUUGUGAGAAAUGAUGGGCAAAACUCCACUAUAAGAUCAGAUUAAUUAUUUAGCCAAAAAUCAGAAUUCCAUAGAGCAGGAGAAACAGCAGCCUAAUGUAGCAUAUCUGCACCCUAAUAGGUGACACACAGCUGCAGAUGACACUAGCUUCACAAAGUCCUAAUGGAUUUGAGACCUUGAUGCCUUGUUGCAUCACAAUCCUUUUCUAUGGGAGCGUACAUCAUCACAUAGAAUGGAUGCAAAUAAUCUGUUUUACUAGGGCUUCCACUGCCAAGGGUGUCUUCAGAAUUGGACUUUUCCAUUUCAUAUGCCAGACAGUCAUAGACUCACCUGUAGGAGAAAAAUAGUGUUGGUGCCCAGGUAACCUAAGCUCUACCUCUGUCUCUGCCUCCAGCUCCACAACCUCUCAGAAAGCCCUUCUCCCUGCACCAGCACAAAUUCUUGAACAUAAUUCCACUGUAAUAUUUUCACACACACACACACACACACACACACACACACACACAUGAGGAAUUAUGAAAGAGGAAAGAGAAUUAGUCCAUAGAGUCAAUGUUCUUAUCCAUAUAGAGAAGAAAACAGAUGACUCUCAGCAAGUAACAUGCUUUUGAUCACAUAGCUAAUAAAUGAAAGAACCAGGUUCCUCAAACCCAGUGUGGUCUAGCUGCAAAGCCCUGCAAAUUUUCCAACACACCAUCUGCUUCAUUAGUCAUGUGUCUAAUAAUGGAAGAAAUCUCUUCAGUGCUUUUUAUAUUUUUUAAAAUAGGUUGUCUACCUACUUUCCUUUCUACUUUCUAUAUAUAUUCAGUCUGACUUUUCCUUUCCAAUUUGGUUGGUUGUUGUUGUUUUUUCUUUAAUCCUGGCCUUUUGUUUUCUUCUUUUUUACCCCUCCUCCUGCUCAUUCAUCUCUUUCUUCUUCCUCAUUCUUUAUCUCUUUUCCACUCUCUCUUUUCCAAUUCCAUUAAUGAAAGCAGAUAAUAACUUGUGAAUUCAAGUGGAACUUCAUUUCCGAAACUGCACACUCAUGCUGGAACCCAUUAAGCUCGAUAGCGAGAAAUGAGAGAAAUCAUAAUUAUCAAGCCACUAAAAUACAUGAAACAUAAAAUUUGUCAGGAAAAGUAAUUGAAAUUAUUGGAGCAGUUGGGUCUGGUGCUGAGCAGACCCUCAGUGAUAAUGGAAAGGUUACGGGUGAUGUUUAGCAACGCUGAUGAGGUCCAAGGUGACUCUGCAACACCACAGUUAGCACAUUUAUGCUCACUUUGUAUUUUGCUAAUCCAUCUCUGAAAAUCGGGAAAACACCGAAGUUGGGCAACCCCUCACACCCUUUCCACAGCAAAACAGGUACAGAAGUCUUGUUCUUUCUUCACCUCUUUACAGAGUUGUGGUGUUUUUUUUAACUUUUCUCAUCCUGUUGUCAUCUCUCUCCUUGAGUUUCUCUAUCUUCUCAUUUCACUUCUUCCUAUUAUUCUUUCUUCUUUUACUUUACUUUCUCCCUUCAUCCUUUUUCAUGUAUUCUCAGUGCUGCUUUUUUAAUUAUAUCGUGAAUUAUUUGGGAAUUUGAUUGGUGGAUAAGGUGUGCAUUUCACCAAUGGUGACUCUAUAACCUGAGAAUCAGAAUUUUUCUUCCUUUGAUCAAGGCUUCCUGUCACUGAGAUUAAACCACUGUCCAGACCUGCACAUACAGAUGCUCUUGCAGGCAUCAUUGGCCAAAAAAAUCCAUUACUGCUCAUGCCCAAUGGAUUUAUCUGAGCAGAUACAAAUGUGCAGAAAAGAGGAAGAGGAUGAUUCUCAGACUGCCAACCUUAGAAUUGCUAAAGUGUCUCUAGGCAUCUCAGUGCCUUAAGCAUUUUAAAUAGUCAAGGCUGCUUAUACACUGUGCUUAUGGUAUAAGGGCUAAGACACAGAAAAUAUCCAGGAAGAGGUACCAGUUCAUAAGAGAUAAACCAAUAUACUCAGGCCAUAAGAGGAUGAUGUUUUUGACAAAGAUACCUGAAUCAUAAUGGAAAAUUUUUAAAAGCUGGUGGUAAUUAUAGGCGGAAUAAGUGUGUAUUUACCUGACUUUAAGUUAUAGUUGCCUCAUAAUUUUACAUCUCUUUCAUGUCUCCUUCAUGGCAAUUUAUCUUUGUAUCACUUUCUGCCACUUUCAAAAAUUGUUCGAUUUUCAUAUCUUGAGAGUUAGGAAACUAUAAUUACCCCAUCCUAUAGCCAAAGAAACUGAGUCUCUAAAAGACUAAUUGAUACAGAAACUGUCAUUUGACAGUGAGAAACAGAUAUAUCUCCUAUCCUUUUAUCCUACCUGCAUUCCACAGUGCUUUAUGUCCAUCUCCACUGUUAGAAAAUUCUUGCGUUCGGUCUGAAUGGUGUCUUAAUUACUUGAAAGAGUUGAUUGACAUCUUUUGGACAAGUUCUACACUGUAGUCAUUAUAUUUAGUAUAUGAGUAGCCAAAGCGUAACUCCAGCAGCAUCAGUGUGAAUAACUUACCAGUGCCUAAUCCUUCUAAUAUUUAUGAAUUUCAGAUCUGAAACCCCCACUAAGCAGUAGCUCAAUCUCUGCUUAAAUAUUUUUACAAAUGAGUGACUGCAGAGCUAGCCCACUCCAUGUUGGAUAGUUAGGAUUGGUAACGUUAUUUUUUUCUGUUGAGUCAAUAGCCAAGACCAUUCACCAGGUUUCCAGCCUUUAGGUCACUCAGAGCAAAUCAUCAUAGAGGCAGUUAUUGAGCUCACAGAAGUUUGUGCUCAGAUGCCUGCAAAUGUCUCUUCCUUCUUCUACAGUAACAGCCUAGGCAGGCACCCUGAACUAGUUCAGAGUGUGGGCUCUGGGGUCAACCUUCUGGUGUGAAACCUGGCUUAACCCUGUUCUACCCAAGUCUAUGCAGUUUACCUAACUUCUCUGUGCCUCAGGUUUUCCAUGUAUAAAAUGAGGAUGGUAAUAGUAUCACCACAUUGGGGUUUGGCCAGGAAUAAAUGACAUGACAAGUACAAAAAAAAAAAAAAAGUUGAAACAUGGCAUGGCACUUAUUAAGCACUAAAUAAAGAUUGGCUAUUAUUAUGAUAAUGUUAGGUUAGCUAGACCCUUCUUAUAGGCAUCUUAGAAUCCUCUAGUCAAGGUUAACACACUGGACUUCCCAUGUGGCUCACAACAAGGUUAACACUUUGCAUUCUUUAGAUGGAUGCUCCAAUUGUUUAUGCAUCCAUCUAAAACUGAUGUGGUGGCUGCUAAGGGCCAACUAUGUGGCGAAAUCUGGAGAUGAGACAGUGAACAAGCCAUCCCAGAUCUAAAGAUCACUGUCUGUUUGGAAGACAGAUAUUUAAAGUUAACUGUAAUUCAGAAAAGGGCUAUGGUUUUCAUAUGUAUAAAACAGAUAAGCAUACACAUCCUUUCUGGCUGGUGGUGGUGGUGAAUUGGGGGGAGACUUAGACUUUCCAGAGGAGAAACCUUGAAUCAAGUCUUGGAGGACAAGUUAGAGUUAGCUGGGAAAGGAGAAUGGCAUUUCAAAUAGGAGAUAAGCAUAUGCAGAGACAUGGAGGAAGGAGGCGUUUGAUGGGCACUGUAAAUUGUUUCCUGUGGGUGGAGUGUAAGAUGCCUAUCACAGGGAGGAGGCUCUGGAGAAGACUGGAGAGCUAGCCAAGCUCUUAUGGGCUUUGUUUUAAAGAUGGCACGGUUGGCUUUUACCUUGAUCUCUUCUUGGCAACCUCAUUACACUGGAAUAAAUUAAAUUCUGAAGUCUUCUUUUACAUAUGCUACUAUUAAAGCGUGUUUGUUUGAACAAUAAACAAAAGGCAGGGUUUUCCAAGGCCCAGUACACAGACUCAAUCAGUAACAAUUCCAGGAGGAAACCAGGAGCCAUAAAGAGGGAAGACCACCUGAAGGGAAAGUUGGGGCACUUUCAAAUUCCUUCAUAUAGCAAAGUCUUUAUAUGUGAAGUUCUAGAAAAUAAUCAUAUAAAACGAAGUGUUAAAGAUUUC